rnacentral:lncRNA from 1 species
GGCUUCUCGAGUUAUUCUCAUGUGACAUGCGAUUGUUAUUUUCAACAUCUCGUAACGUCUCAUUUUAUAUGUAUUUAAACGCAAAAUUUCCUAAUGCAUUUUUUUAUGUAGCUGUCAUUGCCAAAGUUUUGUUGCUGAUCUUGUCUAGGGCAACAUUCGGACUGUUCUGUGUCUGAUUUUUUAUGUUUAUUUUCUGUGUCAACAAGCUCAAUAUUUUUCAUUUUCUAAUUUUGCUUUGAGAGUUGCAUUUUUGCUAGGGUUUAGAAUUUUCUGGUUCUUAUUUUGUUGUCAAAUGAAUGUUUUACUUAGUUUUUAAUUUUUACAGCACACUUUGGUCUUUCGGAUUCACAUUUACUGUCAAUAAGAAUUGUCCUUUAUUAGCGAACAUCCUUAAUUAUGGAAAUCCUUUUACGAGGAGAUUCUUGAUUAUUUAUCCAAAAAUAACAAGUUAUAGC